CUGGAAAAACCGUAGCCUUGACUAGAUGAACCUUUGUCAGAAGCUAUCAGUAAUGUCUCUGCUUUUCAACACACUGUCUAGGUUUGCCAUGGCUUUCCAGCCAAGAAGCAAUUGUGUUCUGAUGUCAUGUCUGCAGUCACCAUCUGCAGUGAUUUUAGAGCCCAGAAAGAGGAAAGUUGUCAUGACUUCCACCUUUUCUCUUUCUAUUUGCCAUGAAGUAAUGAG